GUAGUCUCGCACAGAUGCAUAUCAAUAAGCGGAGGAAAAGAAACUAACAAGGAUUCCCCUAGUAACGGCGAGUGAAGCGGGAAGAGCUCAAAUUUGAAAUCUUAAAGGGUUUCCCUUUACGAAUUGUAGUUUAAAGAAGUGUUUUCUGUUGAGGUUUUGGUAAAAGUUCUUUGGAAUAGGACAUCAUAGAGGGUGAGAAUCCCGUAUUUGACCUUUACUUUCAACUUUGUGAUACACUUUCAAAGAGUCGGAUUGUUUGGGAAUGCAGUCCAAAAUGGGUGGUAAAUUUCAUCUAAAGCUAAAUAUUGGCGAGAGACCGAUAGCGAACAAGUACCGUGAGGGAAAGAUGAAAAGAACUUUGAAAAGAGAGUUAAACAGUACGUGAAAUUGUCAAAAGGGAAGCGUUUGACACCAGUGUUGUUUUUCUGAAAAUCAAUUAAAGAACUGUUUAUGCUAAGCUGUUUAGACUUUAUCAGCUAACUGUUUAGUUUUGAGCUUUUCUUUAAUGCACUUUUCAGUUAACAAGUCAACAUCAAUUUCUUUUGCUGUAAAAAAGCUUGAGGAAGGUGGCUUGAGAUUCGUCUUAAGUGUUUAUAGCCUCUUGCCUAUGCAGUCGGAGAGAUUGAGGUCUGCAGCGUAGAUCCUUCGGGGCUAAAUGCAUUUGUGCUAAGUUAUAGCAUUUUAUAGACAACUUGUUGACUAUGAUUUGUCUUGUAGCUUACUCGCUUAUGUUAUUUUACCUACGCUUAGGAUGUUGACGCAUGAGAUAUACGC
rnacentral:rRNA from 1 species